rnacentral:rRNA from 1 species
AUGAGACCUCCUAUAUUUGAGGGUAUCCACUAUAAGAGGUGGCGCGUGAGAGCAGUCUUAUGGUUUCAGACCAUGAGCUGCUAUGACGCCACUCUUGGCAAACCUGAAGGGGAGCAAGAUGCCCAACAGGCACAAGCUUUUCAGAAAAUGGAUACCUUGUUUAAGGCUGCUCUCUUGAGUGUUCUUGGUGAGAACAUUGUUGAUGCUUAUGUGUCAAUUGAUAAUGGAAAAGUUAUGUGGGACGCACUCGAGGCCAAGUUUGGGGUCUCGGAUGACGGCACUGAGCUGUACAUCAUGGAGCAAUUCUAUGAUUACAGGAUGACUGAAGAGCGCUCCGUGGUUGAGCAGGCUCAUGAGAUACAGUCAUUUGCUAGAGAACUUGAGCACUUCAAUUGCAUGCUACCGGACAAGUUUGUUGUCGGGGGUAUCAUCACUAAGCUUCCUCCUUCAUGGAGGAACUUUGCUACCUUACUGAAACAUAAGAGACAUGAGUUUUCCGUUCCAGAUCUCAUUGGUACUCUUGAUGUGGAAGAAAAGGCGAGAGCAAAGGACACACGUGCUCGAGGUAUUGAGGGAGGAUCUAGUGCCAGUGUGGUACAUAAGCAGAACUUCCAGCCCCACAAGUUCAAGAACAAGGGCAAGUUUGAUGGUAAAGCAAAGUUUGAUGGGAAGAACAAGGCUGUGCAACACAUGAACUUCAAGAAGAAGAAUGGCAAGCAGAAAGGUGCUUGUCAUGUGUGUGGAGAUCUUGAUCAUUGGGCUCCUAGUUGCCCUAAUCGCUAUGACAAGCGUCAUCCUGGGAAAGGCGGCAAGACCGCUAAUGUUGUCAUUGGAGACACUGACAUGAAGGAUGUUGGACCGCAGGGACUUCAACCGUGCUGA